rnacentral:antisense_RNA from 1 species
GCGGCCGCCCAGCGCCCGUCCCCGCGCCGCACUCCCCGGCGCUCCCCGCGCCGCGCGCCCCGCACCGGCUGGAGGCCCCGGCCCCCCGGCGUUCCCUCUCCGCGCACCUCCCGGCCCGCGCUAGCAGGUAGCAGGCAAGAGUGUGGUUAUCGUUGGACCAGGAUUCAGGAUCUGACCGAGUAGCUGACUCUUAAUCCAGUUUGUGUUGAUCACCAGGAGGAUCUGGACCUCAGUGUUAUCACAUCUAAAGCUAUAAUCACAUCCCUGUUAAGCCUUCCUGAGAUCACACCAAAUGUCCUUGAUGGGAAUUGUAAACAACCCUUACUUCUGGUUUCUAAUGAUAUUCCAGGAAAGGAGCCUAACUAGAGUCAGUGAUAUGCCAACUCCACCUUUGCCUUCCACCAUGUUUGGAAGCUCCCUGAGGCCUCACCAGGAGCAGAUGCUCGUCCCAUGCUUCCUAUAAGCCUGCAGAACUGUGAGCCAUAAUAAACUGUGAAUUAUAAAUUGCCUUUAUAGCAAUGCAAAUGGACCAGUACAGAUGGGAUGCUGGGAAGACAGUUGUUCCACCUUCAGUAAA